rnacentral:rRNA from 1 species
GACGAACCGUGCAAACGUUGUUCGGAAUCACUGGGCGUAAAGCGCACGUAGGCGGCUUCUUAAGUCAGGGGUGAAAUCCUGGAGCUCAACUCCAGAACUGCCUUUGAUACUGAGGAGCUUGAGUCCGGGAGAGGUGAGUGGAACUGCGAGUGUAGAGGUGAAAUUCGUAGAUAUUCGCAAGAACACCAGUGGCGAAGGCGGCUCACUGGCCCGGUACUGACGCUGAGGUGCGAAAGCGUGGGGAGCAAACAGG